rnacentral:tRNA from 1 species
GCCAGCAUGGCAUAGUGGUUUGAGUAUUGGACUACAACUCUAGAGACCAGGGUUCCAUUCCCAGCUUGGCC